CUAGGUUACUCAGAGGAUGCUGUCCUGUAGAGCAGCUGAGCGGGUAUUGAUAUAUAUAAAACAGCCUGCAAACAGUGCAGGCGGAAGGAAGAGACUGGGCACCUUUAUAUGUAUAAUUUGGCCAGGGCCCUUGAGUGCCCUGAUGGCCUCCCUGGCAGUGGGACUGAGAGGUCCCAUAGAAGCAGACCACGUCAGAUCCUUCUGGUGUAAGGUCCCGUAGCAGUUACAUAGUUUGCCUCUAUGGGCGCUAUGCCACUGAAGUAGGCAUGCACAAGAAAAAGAGCACUUAGAGGAGGGGCUGAGAAUUCUAAGGACCAUGAUGAAAGAAUAGUUGCAGAACAUUCUAAGAAUAUUCCCAGGAAGAUUGAUCGUACUAGGCUCGAUGUCAUUGAUCAUAUAUGGCCAGUUUGGAAGAGUUUGAUGGCCAAUAUGGACAAAAUUAUAUAUUUAUGUCUGUGAAACCUUAGUUCAUCAGACAUAUGUUUGUGCAACAGUUGUUCUACCAUGCACCUACUUUUUAUGUAAUGUUUAUGGCCACCUUUACAUUGCACUUUCUUGCUAAACUGUGGUGUGGACUCGGCAACAAAUGAUCCAAGCUUUAUCUUGAUCACUAGAAAUGGUAUUAUGUCUAUCUAUACUCCAGGGACAUAGCUGAAUAAUGACUGGCUGGGCAUUUGCCUUGGCUGAUGGGUGCCUGGGGGUUCUACAGGCCCCACUGCAUUAACCAGAGUAUUUAGAUACAGGGAAUUUAACUUAAUUUGCCCCAGGUGACAGAGCGCCUAGCUAUGACUGUCCAAGGCUAUGCUUGCCUUAUCUUUAUGUUAAAGGGAUUAGCACUGAACCUUAUAUUAUGUUGUAAUUUUAACUUGAACAAUAAAAAUGAGU